rnacentral:rRNA from 1 species
AUAGCGUAUAUUAAAGUUGUUGCAGUUAAAAAGCUCGUAGUCGAAGUUCUGGCUGGCCCUGUUUCCGGCUCCGGUCGACUCAGGGCCUAGUCAUCCGUCGGAGAACCCUUGUCGUCCUUCACUGGUCGCUUGGGGGAACUGACCCUUUACUUUGAAAAAAUUAGAGUGUUUCAGGCAGGCUCUCGCCCGAAUACUCCAGCAUGGAAUAAUGGAAUAGGACUUUCUUCUAUUUUGUUGGUUAUUAGUGGAAAGUAAUGAUUAAUAGGGACAGUUGGGGGCAUUCGUACUUAAUUGUCAGAGGUGAAAUUCUUGGAUUUAUUAAAGACGAACUAAUG